rnacentral:rRNA from 1 species
AGAGUUUGAUCCUGGCUCAGGAUGAACGCUGGCGGCAUGCCUAAUACAUGCAAGUCGAACGAACAAGCCCAUGAAGUAUCUAGCUUGCUAGAGACGGAUUGGAUUUUCUUGUUAGUGGCGAACGGGUGAGUAACACGUAGAUAACCUGCCCAUAAGCGAGGGAUAACUAUUGGAAACGAUAGCUAAUACCUCAUAGGAAUAUUUAACACAUGUUAUUUAUUUUAAAGAAGCAACUGUUUCACUUAUGGAUGGAUCUGCGGUGCAUUAGCUAGUUGGUGAGAUAAAAGCUCACCAAGGCGACGAUGCAUAGCCGGACUGAGAGGUCGAUCGGCCACAUUGGGACUGAGACACGGCCCAGACACCUACGGGUGGCAGCAGUAGGGAAUUUUCGCAAUGGGGGCAACCCUGACGGAGCAAUGCCGCGUGGAGGAUGAAGGUUUUCGAAUCGUAAACUCCUGUUGUAAGGGAAGAACGGCAGAAGUAGUGGAAUGGCUUCUGUGUGUACC